rnacentral:misc_RNA from 1 species
GAUGAAGAACGUAGCGAAAUGCGAUACGUAAUGUGAAUUGCAGAAUUCAGUGAAUCAUCGAAUCUUUGAACGCAUAUUGCGCUCUUUGGUAUUCCUAAGAGCAUGCUUGUUUGAGUAUCAGUAAACACCUCAAAGCUUUUGGAUUUUUUAAUCGAAAAGCUUUGGACUUGAGCAAUCCCAACACCAAUCUUUUUGAGAUCGGUGGCGGGUUGCUUGAAAUGCAGGUGCAGCUGGACAUUCUCCUGAGCUAAAAGCAUAUUCAUUUAGUCCCGUCAAAGGAUUAUUACUUUUGCUGCAGCUAACAUAAAGGGAGUUUGACCGUAUUGGCUGACUGAUGCAGGAUUUCACAAGGGUCGGCAACGAUUCUUGUUAAACUCGAUCUCAAAUCAAGUAAGACUACCCGCUGAACUUAAGCAUAUCAAUAAGCGGAGGA